AACCACCAGAAAACCGGAAGUGGUGCUGUGGCUCAAGUGCUAGAGCACUAAGCUUGAGCAAAAGAAGCUCAGGGACAGUGCUCAGGCCCUGAAUUCAAGCCCCAGAACGGGCACCA